CACGGGGAUGCGAGCGUUGUCCGGAAUUACUAGGCGUAAAGGGCAGGCAGGCGGAUCCAUAAGUUUAUCGUUUAAGGCGUCGGCUUAACCGGCGUAGGGCGGUAGAUACUGUGGAUCUGGAAUGCGGUUGGGGAAGACAGAAUUCCUGGUGUAGCGGUGGAAUGCGCAGAGAUCAGGAGGAAUACCGAAGGCGAAGGCAGUCUUCCAAGCCGUUAUUGACGCUCAACUGCGAAGGUGUGGGUAUCAAACAGGAUUAGAUACCCUGGUAGUCCCU
rnacentral:rRNA from 1 species